rnacentral:rRNA from 1 species
CCAGCCUGCAUGCAACAUGCCGCGUGAGUGAUGAGGCCUUCGGGUUGUAAAGCUCUUUUGCCCGGGAUGAUAAUGUAUGUAACGGGAGAUAGUACCUUGCUAGUUCCUUGCCAGCAGCCGCGGUUUACUCCGUGCCAGCAGCCGCGGUAAUACAC